CUGUAUAAUUAUCAGAGUGAGGGAGGAGGGAGAAAGAACCGACAGUGUGAUGUUUUCAAGUGCCCUGUGCUCCCUAAGGAAGCCCCAUUCCCUUCUAAGGACAUCUUUAUUGUCACCCCUAUAGAACUACAGAGGAUUUCUCUCUCUAAGGGUUUAUGGCAGCCUGACCUCUCCCUUGCAGGUCACAGAAUCAGAAAUUUCAGAAAGAAAUGGUGCCUCAGAAGUAAUACGUGCUUUGCAGAAUCUGAGAGAACAGAGUGCUGCGUAGGGACAGCGUAAUUCCUCUUGUUUCACUUACAGUUUAAAAAUCAUAAGAUUUGGAAAUACUUUUUCUUGUCUUG
rnacentral:lncRNA from 1 species